rnacentral:rRNA from 1 species
AUUGAACGCUGGCGGCAGGCCUAACACAUGCAAGUCGAACGAGUGGCGGACGGGUGAGUAAUGUAUGGGAAACUGCCCGAUGGAGGGGGAUAACUACUGGAAACGGUAGCUAAUACCGCAUACUAUCGGAUGAGCCCAAAUGGGAUUAGCUAGUAGGUGAGGUAACGGCUCACCUAGGCGACGAUCCCUAGCUGGUCUGAGAGGAUGAUAGGCCACACUGGAACUUGGACACGGGCCAGACGCCGACGGGAGGCAGCAGUGGGGAAUAUUGCACAAUGGGCGCAAGCCUGAUGCAGCCAUGCCGCGUGUAUGAAGAAGGCCUUAGGGUUGUAAAGUACUUUCAGUCGGGAGGCGUUACCGACAGAAGAAGCACCGGCUAACUACGUGCCAGCAGCCGCGGUAAUAC